rnacentral:tRNA from 1 species
ACCUGGCUGGCUCAGUCAGUAGAGCAUGGGACUCUUGAUCUCUGGGAUGUAAGUUCGAGUCCAUCGUUGGGUG